UACAGAGGGUGCGAGCGUUAAUCGGAAUUACUGGGCGUAAAGCGCGCGUAGGCGGCUUUGCAAGUCGGGUGUGAAAUCCCCAGGCUUAACCUGGGAACUGCAUUCGAGACUGCAUUGCUAGAGUAUGGGAGAGGGAAGUGGAAUUCCCGGUGUAGCGGUGAAAUGCGUAGAUAUCGGAAGGAACAUCAGUGGCGAAAGCGACUUCCUGGACCAAUACUGACGCUCAUGUGCGAAAGCGUGGGGAGCAAACAGG
rnacentral:rRNA from 1 species